GUGAGGAAUAUUGCGCAAUGGAGGCAACUCUGACGCAGCCAUGCCGCGUGCAGGAAGAAGGCGCUACGCGUUGUAAACUGCUUUUAACCGGGAAGAAACCCCAGGACGUGUCCUGGGUUGACGGUACCGGAGGAAUAAGCACCGGCUAACUUCGUGCCAGCAGCCGCGGUAAUACGAAGGGUGCAAGCGUUAUCCGGAUUCAUUGGGUUUAAAGGGUGCGUAGGCGGAGCGUUAAGUCAGUGGUGAAAUCCUGCAGCUUAACUGUAGACUGGCCAUUGAUACUGGCGCUCUUGAGUGCGCUUGAAGUGGGCGGAAUGUGCCGUGUAGCGGUGAAAUGCUUAGAUAUAGCACAGAACACCAAUUGCGAAGGCAGCUCACUAAGGCGAUACUGACGCUGAGGCACGAAAGCGUGGGGAUCGAACAGGAUUAGAUACCCUUGUAGUCC
rnacentral:rRNA from 1 species